rfam:Gossypium raimondii Chr03_contig_937, whole genome shotgun sequence.
CACGUCAGUGCGCUUUGCUUACGUGGACACAAAUCGCGCCUACGAGGCCGCGAUUUGUGUCCACGUAAGCAAAGCGCGCUGACGUGG